CUCAGAUGUAAAAAAUAUGUAAAACUCUAUUGACAAUCUUGAGCGAAUCAUAUACUAUGUGAUAGAUAAGUUGGUUGCAGGUAUUGUUCUGAAGGAAGCUUUGUCUUUUUGCAGUGCAGGACCUCAAAGACUUAUGACUCUUAGAAAGGAGGUCUUCUCAAAUGGCAAAAGGCAAAGUGAAAUGGUUCAACGAAUCCAAGGGUUUCGGGUUCAUUGAAAGGGAGUCCGGCGAGGACGUUUUCGUCCACUACACUUCCAUCCAGGGCGACGGUUUCAAGACCCUGAAGGAAGGUCAGGAAGUCGAAUUCGACAUAGCCAAGGACGCAAAGGGUUCCAAAGCGGUGAACGUAGUUCCCCAAUAAGGACCAAAAAGCAAAAAGCCCCCACGCAAGUGGGGGCUUUUUUU
rnacentral:other from 1 species